AUGAAGUUAAGUUAAUAAGACUGUUUGUUUUCAAAACAACUAGUGACAAAUUUCUGGUCACUUCAUG
rnacentral:tRNA from 1 species